AAAGCUUUUAAUAUGGAACCAAGAACAUAAUUUUGGCAAAUCACAGUUUCAAGAAUCUUUAUUUAAUCGUUCCAGGUAUUUACAUCAAUUACUUGAUUAACAUUUAUUAUUAUAACUAGAGUAUAGACAAAACUAAAACUUGAUUAAAAUAUUUAUUUAGUUUAUUCAAAAAAAAAAAAAAAGGGUUACUUAACAUACGAUUCAACCCACAAAACUUAGGUAACGUGUCGUCUCAAAACUUCUAGGUUCAUUUAAAUCAGAAUGCAGUAGUACUAUCAAAAUAUAUAUGUACACACCCUUUAAGAAAACAAAGAUGUUUUCGAAAAUGAUAGCUAGAUAGAUAUUUGAAUAGAGAGCUUCAAUAUUAAGAUGAUAGUACAUUUAAUUCUGUGGUCUAAUUUGAUUACUAGAAGUUAGUCAAACCACCAAAAUCAAAAAAUAAAAAAAGUUAGGAAAAGUAAUAAUGAUUAAUAGUAACGCCAAAUGUGGAUUCAAAUAUACACUCAUUACUCUUCAAGAUUCAUGUAUGGUAAAAUAAAAACAUUAAAAUAAAAAUAAAAUAAAAGAUCUAAGCG
rnacentral:lncRNA from 1 species